UGUUGACUCAGGUGGCCACAUGUUUUUCAUUCUGUGUGGCCAGGUCAGGCCCUGCUCAUGAACCCAACCACAAUGACAUUAACAUACUUCCGUACUCCAUUCUGUUUGUUUCCCUUUUUACAACCAUACAUUUUCUUUUAUGGCCCUUUUAACUAGGGCCAGGGAAAGAAUGAAACAACCCGUGCAAGACAUUGAUGACUAUGUAGGCCCUGGUGUUCUUUGUCUUUAAAGAAAUAUUCCAGGGCAAAGUUAACUCUUCAUAACCCCUCUGAGAUGCUUCUCAAGACACAUUUGAGGCUUGUACUAAGACUAUUCUAAUUUAAGAAUGAUAUACAAAUUUGGCAAGAAAAGGACAAAACUAUUGAGAUUUUUCUCAUGCCUAAUUUACGUGAGUGUAUAUUUCCCUACUGUAUUUCCCAUUUGGAAUCAAG
rnacentral:lncRNA from 1 species